UGUUAGUAGUGAUGUCAGUGGUGAUGUCAAUAGGUGAUGUCAGUAGGUGUCAGUCGUGAUGUCAAUCGUGAUGUCAGUGGUGAUGUCAGAAGGGGUCAGUAGUGAUGUAAGUAGGUAUCAGUGGUGAUGUCAAUAGGGGAUGUCAGUAGUGUCAUUGCUGAUGUCAAUAGGUGAUGUCAGUAGGUGUCAGUGGUGAUGUCAAUAGGUGAUGUCAGUAGGUGUCAGUGGUGAUGUCAAUAGGGGAUGUCAGUAGUGUCAUUGCUAAUGUCAACAGGGGAUGUCAGUAGGUGUCAGUGGUGAUGUCAAUAGGUGAUGCCAGUAGGUGUCAUUGCUGAUGUCAAUAGGUGAUGUCAGUAGGUGGCAGUGGUGAUGUCAGUAGGUGUCAGUAGUUAUGUCAGUAGGUGUCAGUAGAUGUCAAUCGUGAUGUUAGUAGUGAUGUCAGUGGUGAUGUCAAUAGGUGAUGUCAGUAGGUGUCAGUCGUGAUGUCAAUCGUGAUGUCAGUGGUGAUGUCAGAAGGGGUCAGUAGUGAUGUAAGUAGGUAUCAGUGGUGAUGUCAAUAGGGGAUGUCAGUAGUGUCAUUGCUGAUGUCAAUAGGUGAUGUCAGUAGGUGUCAGUGGUGAUGUCAAUAGGUGAUGUCAGUAGGUGUCAGUGGUGAUGUCAAUAGGGGAUGUCAGUAGUGUCAUUGCUAAUGUCAACAGGGGAUGUCAGUAGGUGUCAGUGGUGAUGUCAAUAGGUGAUGCCAGUAGGUGUCAUUGCUGAUGUCAAUAGGUGAUGUCAGUAGGUGGCAGUGGUGAUGUCAGUAGGUGUCAGUAGUUAUGUCAGUAGGUGUCAGUAGAUGUCAAUCGUGAUGUUAGUAGUGAUGUCAGUGGUGAUGUCAAUAGGUGAUGUCAGUAGGUGUCAGUCGUGAUGUCAAUCGUGAUGUCAAUCGUGAUGUCAGUGGUGAUGUCAGUAGGGGUCAGUAGUGAUGUCAGUGGUGAUGUCAGUAUAUGAUGUCAGUAGAUGUCAAUCGUGAUGUCAAUCAUGAUGUCAGUAGUGAUGUCAGUGGUGAUGUCAGUAGGGGUCAGUAGUGAUGUCAGUAGGUGUCAGUGGUGAUGUCAGUAGAUGUCAGUCAUGAUGUCAAUCGUGAUGUCAGUGGUGAUGUCAGUAGUGAUGUCAGUAGUGAUGUCAGUGGUGAUGUCAGUAGGGGUCAGUAGUGAUGUCAGUAGGUGUCAGUGGUGAUGUCAGUAGAUGUCAGUCAUGAUGUCAAUCGUGAUGUCAGUGGUGAUGUCAGUAGUGAUGUCAGUAGUGAUGUCAGUGGUGAUGUCAGUAGGGGUCAGUAGUGAUGUCAGUAGGUGUCAGUGGUGAUGUCAGUAGAUGUCAGUCAUGAUGUCAAUCGUGAUGUCAGUGGUGAUGUCAGUAGUGAUGUCAGUAGUGAUGUCAGUGGUGAUGUCAGUAGGGGUCAGUAGUGAUGUCAGUAGGUGUCAGUGGUGAUGUCAGUAGAUGUCAGUCAUGAUGUCAAUCGUGAUGUCAGUGGUGAUGUCAGUAGUGAUGUCAGUAGUGAUGUCAGUGGUGAUGUCAGUAGGGGUCAGUAGUGAUGUCAGUAGGUGUCAGUGGUGAUGUCAGUAGAUGUCAGUCAUGAUGUCAAUCGUGAUGUCAGUGGUGAUGUCAGUAGGUGAUGUCAGUAGGUGUCAGUAGUGAUGUCAGUGGUGAUGUCAGUAUAUGAUGUCAGUAGAUGUCAAUCGUGAUGUCAAUCGUGAUGUCAGUAGGUGUCAUGAGUGAUGUCAGUAGAUGUCAAGGGGGAUGUCAGUAUGUCAGUAGUACCCAGGUUGGCGGCGAGCUGCAGUGGAGUUCUGUGUUUGUAGUCGGUGCAGCUGAUGGAGGCUCCGGCCUGCAGCAGCAGUCUGAUUGAACCUACAGCUUCAUUCUUGGCAGCAUAGUGAAGGGGAGUCUGCUGGUCCAGAAGAGUCCGAGCCUCUGGAUCAGCUGAAGACAUCACACACACACAAAGACACAAAGACACACACACACUGAUCUGAUCUGCACGUUCAACAGCUGUCAAACCCUAGUUGUAGUUGUUCUAUGGUGCCAAAUAAUCGUGUCUCUUCAUUAAAAGACGGAGAUGUUCAAAAGUUUCUGUCUGUUUCAGCAGGAGAUCUUCAUUCAUUUCAGGAACAAUACACAAUCUGCCAGAGACCACAGAACCAGAGACCAGCUUGAAAAGGGGCAGGACUUUUCUAUGGCUCUAAACACCACAGUCAUGGACCAAUGAUAAGACAGUGGGGUCCCCAACCCUCCUACAACCCUCCUCCUCCCGACUGAAAGAGACACAAAACAACAACUACAAACCAUGCAGCUGCGUCAUUCGUGGUAGUUUUGCAUUUGUUUGUAGUUGUUUUUAAGACCACAAGAGGUCAGGGUGAAAGUGGGUCAGAGCCCGGUAGACCUGUUAAAUAAUCUAUCCAUCUAUUACUACAGAACCCAUGAGCCUCAGCAGCUGUGGACUGACUCUGGGUAGGACAGACAACAACAAAAUGUCCGAGCGGUCCGUAAACACUCCCUGGACCUGUCCACACAGACCUUUUUGGUCCAGCAGGAACUGAACCAUGUCGUGGUAGUCCAGCGCCGAGGCCACAUGGAGCACCGUGACUCCAAACUGAUCAGGCUGGAGAAGAUCUGAACCCCGGUCCAAGAAGAACCGCAUCACAUCCACACUCCAAGCCCUGGAGACCUGAACACGGACACUGUGUUCACCAAACAGACAAACUUUAUCACACAAGCAAGACAAAUAAAACUUGACACUAGGUUUUUAUCCAGUCUGUCUCUAAAUAAAAAUCCAGGAAGACAAACCUGCUGUGGCUGUAUAUAGGAAACAUCCUAAAGGCUUUGGUAACUCAUGGAUGAACAUAUAUGUUUUGGAGCAGUGGAUGGGGAGUUUGACGAUGAUUGUAUUGAUUUUGUGUCUUGUAGAGAAACUAAAUAAAGCUGUGGAAUAAAUUCAAAUAAAAGUCCCGUGCUGACCUCAUGUAGGAUGGUCUGUCCGUAUCUGUCUGAGCUGUUUGGAUCGGCUCCCUCUGAAAUCACUUCAUCCAGAAACUCAAGGUCCACCUGCACAAACACACAGACAUGUUCAAGAGGAUCUAACACUGACUGAACCAAACUGUGAACCUGCUGCUACAUAAUCUAACACAUUUUCAUACUUUGGUACAUUGAUAUGGCCCCUGUAUCCUUUCACAUUACAUUACUUUCCAGCUUUGUUUAGUUUGUUUUACUCUGAUUAAUAUUAAUAUACUUGGUCAUUGUUACCUGGUCGGUGUUACCUGGUCAUUGUUACCUGGUCAUUGUUACCUGGUCAUUGUUACCUGGUCAGUAUUACCUGGUCAUGUUACUUAGUCUUGUUACCUGGUCAGUGUUACCUGGUCAUUGUUACCUGGUCAUUGUUACCUGGUCGGUGUUACCUGGUCAUUGUUACCUGGUCAGUGUUACGUGGUCAUUGUUACCUGGUCAUUGUUACCUGGUCAUUGUUACCUGGUCGGUGUUACCUGGUCAGUGUUACCUGGUCAUUGUUACCUGGUCAGUGUUACCUGGUCAUUGUUACCUGGUCAUUGUUACCUGGUCAUUGUUACCUGGUCGGUGUUACCUGGUCAUUGUUACCUGGUCGGUGUUACCUGGUCAUUGUUACCUGGUCAUUGUUACCUGGUCAUUGUUACCUGGUUGGUGUUACCUGGUCAUUGUUACCUGGUCAUUGUUACCUGGUCGGUGUUACCUGGUCAUUGUUACCUGGUCAGUGUUACCUGGUCAUUGUUACCUGGUCGGUGUUAUCUGGUCAUUGUUACCUGGUCAUUGUUACCCGGUCAGCAUUACCUGGUAAGUGUUACCUGGUCAUUGUUACCUGAUCAUUGUCUGUGAAGGUUUUAAGUCAUACAGGUCAUAGUUAUCCAAAGAAGGUUAAAGUCAAGGGUAACUGGACUAGAUCUUCAACCAAGUCCAGUUGCCCUUGACUUUAACCUUCUUUGCAUUACCGGGUCAUUGUUACCUGGUCAGCAUUAUCUGGUCGGUGUUACCUGGUCUACGUUACCUGAUCAGUGUUACCUGGUCGUGUUACUUAGUCUUGUUACCUGAUCAGUGUUACCUGGUCAUAUUACUUAGUCUUGUUACCUGGCGAUUGUUACCUGGUCGGUGUUACCUGGUCAUUGUUACAUCAUGUCACCUGGUUGGUGUUACCUGGUCAGUGUUACCUGGUCAUUGUUACCUGGUCUGUGUUACCUGGUCAUUGUUACCUUGUCAUUGUUACAUCAUUGUCACCUGGUUGGUGUUACCUGGUCAGUGUUACCUGGUCAUUGUUACUUGGUCGUAUUACUUAGUCUUGUUACCUGGCCAUUGUUACCUGGUCGGUGUUACCUGGUCAUAUUACUUAGUCUUGUUACCUGGUCAUUGUUACUUGGUCGUAUUACUUAGUCUUGUUACCUGGCCAUUGUUACCUGGUCGGUGUUACCUGGUCAUAUUACUUAGUCUUGUUACCUGGCCAUUGUUACCUGGUCGGUGUUACCUGGUCAUUGUUA